CAGUAGGGUGCCAUCAAGAGGUGUAUUUGGAAAUAUCCCUAAUACAGGAUC
rnacentral:rRNA from 1 species